GUGAGGCGCUCGGCGCCCGGGCUAACGGGGGCCCUGGCAGUUCUGCGGCAGCUGAGCCAGGGGCCCGGCCCCCAGGCCAACGCCGGGCAGCGGUGACGUUAUUUGGGCCCUGUCGCCUUCUGGUUCUGCACCAUGGCAGCCGCUAAAAAGCCUGAGCUCGCUGCAGGGGCCUUGGGCUCGGGCCCUGGCCAGCCCUGCAGCAUGUGUCAGCACUGACUAACAGCGGCAUGAUCGGCACGCAGGUGCCCUUAGCGAACGGGAAACAAGGUGUAUAUGUGUAAUCUCUUGAGACUAAGCUUCAGUUAAACAGCAACAGCUGUGGGGGUGACAGUCAUAGGUGAAAACUUCCACGAUAAUGGAAAAGCUUAGUGUCCUAGAGGUGGCAACCUAAUCCCAUUCACCUGCAAGUGUCUCUUCUCUCCCCCCCAGCCAUUUUAAAAGGGGGGGAAAAUCAUCCAUUUGGCUCAGGCAAGAAGCUACAUCACAAAGGUUAUACUGUUACAUCCAGUUUGAAGUAGCAAUCUUCUCUGCCACUGGAAAAAGCUUAUCUAGGUAAUGAAAGUAUGACGUUUUUCCUCUUUUAGAGCACUGUUUAAUGCAAGGAUAGCGCUGUUACCCGUACAAAGUAAAGGUAAUAUUUCUGCAGGGAA